UAAAAAUGCUCUCCUAGGGCUGCAACUAACAAUUAUUUUCAUUGUCGAUCUGUGGAUUAUUUUCUCAAUUAAGUUGUUUGGUCUAUAAAAUGUCAGGAAAUAGUGAAAAAUGUUGAUCAGUGUUUUCCAAAGUAGUAGUUGUAGUUUUUUAUUUAGUCAUCAUAAAAACAAUACUUAUAUACAUGUUACAGUGUAAACUCAAACAGUAAAUAGCUGAAAGGAUUAGGCUGAAGCAACAGCUAACACAUGCCUAUCCUAUGUUCUUAUCCAUUAAAUCGAUUAAAUCUAUGCAAGAUAUAAGUAAAGAAACAAGAUCAUUGAUCACAUUUGUAACCCUCAAAAAUAGCAUUACAAACCAUUUUCUUAAAACCCAAAAGAGUGUUUCCCAAAGCCCAAGAUGACGUCCUCAAAUGUCUUGUUUUGUCCACAACUCAAAGAU